rnacentral:lncRNA from 1 species
CAGAAUGGCUCCUGUGUGUCAUCGAUCGAUCGCUCCUUUUUUUCCAUUCGACGUUCCUUCCAGGUUAGAAGACUGAGGAUCCAGCAGCGAUUGAAAGGCGCCGAGCUAGGCCUGGAAGAGGAGGACGAGGAGAACGAUCUGCCAGAGUAUUCAUCGUUGUUUCCAUUUCUUCCACCUUUGGUAAACAAACACUUUCUUAUGUUUUUCUAUUUCCUCUCAGCAAUGGCUUGGCUAUGGCAGACAUACACGACGUUGAAGUUAUACUAUGCAACUUGCUUUGCCUUGUGCGGUGGAGUCAUCCUUUUCGGUGGCCUUCUAGCUCCUGUUGUAAGCACUAAAAUUCAAUACUGUGUAGAGAUAAGAUCUUGUUUUCCUUUCCAAAGCUGGAGCUCCGACUUGGGGUUGGAUUUACCUCCUAUACCGAUUUCAUUCACAAGAUGCACUUACCCGAGCAGCUAAGGUUUGUGACACUGGAGGUUUGUUGCUGCUGCUUGAUGUGGUCUUUGGGAUUUUUAUAGUCAGGUCGAUCCAAUCGUUGCUUCGUUUUCGGGUGGGGCAGUCGGAGUCUUAUCGUCUCUGAUGGUGGUGGAAGCUAAUAACAUCCGGCAGCAGGAUAAGCAGAGGUGCAAGUACUGUCAUGGAACUGGUAUGGCAAUCAAUGAGGUCAUGGUUUUCAUUGCUACAAUGCUUUUCAAUGUUUCAAGGCUAUCUGUCGUGCGCUCUAUGCUCAGCUGCUGGAACUGUAGCGAGGCCGGAAUCCAUGGAACGUAAGAGAUGUCCAAACUGCUUUGGCGUGACGAAGGUAGAAGUUUCUGCCUCCUGCGUCUAGCUACACUUUAUUUAAUUCCUUCUGGUGUCUCCUUUCUUUUUCUGAUGUUUUCUCUGUCAUUUUUCUAAUUUGCAGGUGAUGUGUCCUACUUGUUUGUGCACAGGAAUGGCACUUGCUACUGAACACGACCGUCGAAUCGAUCCUUUCGACUGAUGAGUGAGUGAGUGCGUAUUCCUUUUCGUCUAAAAAAAUUCCCCUAGCCAUUGAUCUUAGCGAAAACAGCGACUAAUGCUUUUGACUUGCUCUCUGUCACCAGGUGAGGGUGGGGUUACGUGUGUCUUUCCACCCGCCACACUUGGCGAUCGAGAGUAUGAAAAUAAUCUCGAAAGCUGGGAAAUGCCGACUGUAUGCCUUGCUUGCUUGUUUCAUUUUUUAAUGUUUUGGUGCAGGAAGCGGUGGCAAGUCUGACGACGAGGCAAGGAAGAAGUUCCUGUCGAGCAGAGAAGUUGCCUAUUAGAAGAGAGAUCUCAGGAGAUGGGUGAUGGAGAAAGCAGACUUAACAGCGGGGGAGACGAGGAGAAUGAGCGUGAUGGGCUUGUCUCGGUUCAUAGCCGGCACAGCCACGCCGAGGAUAUGGAUGGAGGAAGCCUUUUCGCGACGCGUUGGAGGACAUGGAAGCUUUGCUCUUGCGAGCGUCCUCCCGACACACGUACUAUUGUGUUUGAUCCAAAUUUCAGGCAAAAGCCUUCGAUUAAACAACACAUAAGCUCCAAGCUGAAAAGAUUCAUCACUCCUACCCUUCACUGAUGUUAUUCCUUCCAAGAAAAACAUAAGGCAUCUGGCACGAAACGCAUGCUUGCGAUGAGAUCUUGAGCAGCACCCAAACGCCCAGCACGGCUCAGACCAUGGAUCACGCAGCAAUAGUCUGGAUCAAGACCAUCAUAGAGCUAAAGCACUACUUAGAUCUAAUGUUUUCAUCGUAUCAAACAUUUCCAAUGCACAGUGCUCCACCACUCUGGAGUAGUUUAGACGUUGAGUCGUCCUCUGGCAUCAAAAGGGAUUUUUACUUCCCGCAUAUAUUCGAUGACACAGAUCUCUGGCUAGGAGAAGCUGUGAUCUUUGCGUGUAUGCUGUUAGCAAUUCUGGCAUCCAAUUGAAUAUUUCUGUCGCAUCCUUCCUUUUGAGAUUAAGUCAAGCAUGGACUUUCUGUUUGCCUCUAGCAUAUCAUCAAAAACUUCUUCUGCCCGUGCCAAAUCUCCAUGCAAUGUGUAUGUUGCUAGCAUGGUGUUCCAGACUAUCAAAUCCCUCUGUGGCAUUUUACUGUAGACAUCUUUUGCCGCUUACAGAAAGCCAUUCUAACGAUGAAGUUCACCAACUCAGUUUAUCAGCGACAGCUCGUACCCCAUCCAUCUCGCGUUCCUCCUGUCGUCUCUUGAAGCAUCUUCCAGUGUUCAUAUGCAGAUAGCGCACUUAGUGAAUUUCAUUUCUUGAAGCAUCUUGCAAUGUUUUCUUAUGCCGAUAGCAGUGCAUUGCAGCAAAUGAUGUUUUGCAUUCGCAUUUGGGUAAAGAUCUCCUCGCUAGCACUAUUAUAUACUAUAAUAGUAUUAUAUAUAAUAAUAGUAUUAUAAUAAUUAUUAUUAUAAUACUAUUAUAUACUAUUGUUAAAUAAUAUUUCAAUUAAGAAGCUUGUGAAAGAAAAAACCUUAGCAAGAAACAGCCAGAUUUGUCCACGAAAUCAAGUAAUGAAGUGGCAUUGCAUUAAAAUGAGAUUUUGCUAUGUCAUUAUGCUCAUGUUAGACAUAUGACACAAGUAUCAUGUCGAAGGGUGUUUACCUCCGUACAAGACGAGAGCGUUGUCUCAUCAACAGCAAUGAUCAAAGCCUACGGAAUAAAGCGAAGGAGUGGAGAGUGCUCAUUGGAGAAAUCUUGUUUUGAAUGGCGCAAAUACCCUGUCUGGGCAUUUGGACGAGGAAAUAGCAAGAGGCUUGAGCUUCUUUAUAUCCAUGAAUAAUCUCUCAGCUGUGCCGGGCAGCUCCGAGAAGAUCAUUAAGACGACUGGCCAAACCCAGUCAGUCUCUUCGAGCACCAGUCAACGCGAUCAACUAACAGGCCCUCGACUCCAUGGGAUAUGUAAAGGUUGACGAAAAGCCAUGGCGUUUCCUGCCGGUCAACCCAGUCAGUCAAUGGCAAGUUAAAGCUCUCGUUUACUUGACGUAAAAUGAGUAUGUACAUGUUUGUACGCCAGCUUUAAGCAGAGGAAAGUACAGACAUGACCAGCUAUAGAAAGCUGUCAAGCUCUUCCAUGGCUAGCGAUUGGCGCAAGCAGCAAAGCCGGUUGCAAAGAUUCGCGUUCACAGCCAUUUUUCUCGGCCAGAUAUAGCCCGACUUCUCUGGAUACGCUCGCGCCAAACGAGAGCCCCUCUUCACGUCCUUCGCGUCCUUGUAAAGCCCGAAACCGUAGUGAUCAAGCAACGCCUCAACCUGGAAGACAACCAGCACCGUAUGCCGUUCUGGGCAUACUCACUGGAAACCGCAAGCAUCUAAAGCUUUGCGUUGUCACCUCCCUCCUUUUGCCUUUUGCUUUUUCCUAUGGACAGAUACUAUCCUAAACUCUCAUGGACACCGCUCUACGAGAGAGGCGAUAAAGUUUCUUCUGUAGUCUUCCGUGGGCUCAGGCUAGAAAUCGUUGGCAACUGGUGUCUCCCUUCGCACUAUGAUCCGCAAGAGGAUGCGGUUCUGGAGUUUGUCACCACUCGAAAACCGUCCAAAAAGGUACAAGAUUCUAUUUCGAAGAGCCUCGAUGAAUCUGGGGUCUGUUGCUCGUUUGACGGGAAGAGCCUCUUCGUUUUCUUCCCGACGUCUCUCGCCUACGCGACGCUAGCCGAUGCAAAAGAACAGGUCCGGUGCUAUGCCAUGAAGAAAGGGAACGUGUUCGAGUUUCUCUUGCUGCCCAGCCCGCUUUGGAAGUCGAAAGAGGGCAAGUUCUUCAUGCCUCAACAAGCUCUCUUCCGGACGUGUGAGCCCUACUGUCCAUCCUAGCGUUCGAGAUUGGGGAGAGGCACGAAGAGCCGGCGUGGCGCCAACUUUUCGAAUCCGGGGCAUUUUCUGGAGUCUUGGCCUUGAUGCCCGGAUGCCUGGACGUGGUUCUUAUCACUCGCCAAGGGACUCAACGAUUCCAUGACCCCGACUUUGUAGACUUGAGCGAGCUGUUGAGUGGCUUUCGGCUCUAUCUCACGGCUCUUCCAAGGGUACUCUGGCCAACACUCCGGGAAGUAAGUGUCGCCAUCUUUGGCGAUGCGAAAACGAGUUCACCUCACUUGUUUGUGCAGGAUCGGAGGGGCUACAUGACAACCAACAAGAAGCUGGCGGAUAUCCUUUGCAAACGUAUACGCGAAGGGAAUGUAGAAGAGGCGAAAGCGGUGGUGUGUUUUAUGUCUUGUUUAGAUACGUUUAGCUCCUUUGAGGUGCUCCCUCUGGUGAGUCUUUCUCCGUAUAUGCAUGGUUCAUGUCCGGUGUUUAAAUUGCAAUACACAGGUUCUAGCUGUGUCCAAGAACAUGGAAGAGCUCGUGGAGUUUAUGUGUGAAUUUGAGGUCGACGUGGAUCAAGUUGACUGGUUUGGACGAAGCAGCGUUGUCUUCUUCACUAAAUUGUGCUGCCUUGUAGGUUUGGUCAAACUGCACGAGCUCGCGCUACGGGAAAGAUUCGAAAGUUUAUCGACGAGAAAUACCCGGAUGCCCCGGAUGCUCCUGGUUUGAUCUUUUGUUCUUACUAUAGGUUACACAUACGUAAUUAUUGAUGGAUUGUGUGCUUGCAGAAGGUUUGACAGUGAGCGCCCCUGAACCAUCAACGGUGAAAGUUUCUGGUCUCACUUCCGAAAAUCUCCGGAAACUGGUAAAGAUGGUCUCCGGAAGAAAGAUUGCCGCCUACUAUCUCCCUGAUGCAGUUGGAGAAAACAAUACAAUGUGUUUGCAGGUAAGUAGCUUUUGUAGAUGCUCUCUUUUGUUCACGCCUUUCUUUUGUCUGAAUAAUGCAGCAAUUGUUUCCUGAUGCAAGCGAUCCUGAUUCAUUACUUCGAGAGGUCAAAGCCACGCUAAUGUUAGGAGGAGACUAGAUGGCGGCAGUGCCAAGCAAUGAUAUACGCCAUAGCCAAUCAUGGACUCUUCAUCACUUGGACGGUCCUGAUCUGCGCCUCAUAAUCGCGGAUUUUCCAAAAAGGUCAAACCUGUAAAUAUAACUACCCUUAAGAAAUAUAACUAAUCCUGCCUUUAGGUCAAGUACCUUUUUUGGUUUAAGGACUUUGACGGAAUAUGCCUAAGACUUGAGGAUAUUACGUUCUCCCCACUGAUAAUCAGGGUUUGUAGGGCUCGCGAGAAUUCCAGGUGCGUCUAGCGAGGAAUGCGAGGUUGGAGAGAUGUUCUCGUCGAUGUCGGCCCCGCAUUCUCCCGCAGUAAGCAGCUUGGGUGGUUCUUGGGCAAGAAAUUCCGGAUGCUUGAGUCUGGAGCGUCCGGUUUUGUGGAUUUCGAGGUCGAGACCGCUCAACCGCAGUGUAAGGGCGACGCUCACGGAUGAUUCCUCCUCCUCGAACAACGGGUUUUACAUCAUCGACAGCCGAGACACUGUCGUUGAUCUCGCGAAAAUGCAGUUCGAGGAGCUCAGGGAUGACGUGAAAACUCGUCUUGCGCAUGGAGGAGGUAUUUGAAUUUGUGCUCUUGUGUGUCAUCGAUCGAUCCCUCUUCUUUCCAGGUUAGAAGACUGAGGAUCCAGCAGCGAUUGAAAGGCGCCGAGCUAGGCCUGGAAGAGGAGGACGAGAAGAAUGAUCUACCAGAGUAAUUAUCGUUGUUUCGAUUUCUUCCACCUUUGGUAAACAAACACUUUCUUAUGUUUUUCUAUUUCCUCUCAGCAAUGGCUUGGCUAUGGCAGACAUACACGACGUUGAAGUUAU